rnacentral:rRNA from 1 species
GAUGAACGCUGGCGGCGUGCUUAACACAUGCAAGUCGAACGAAGUUAUUCUAUGGAAGUUUUCGGAUGGAAGUAGAAUGAUUUAGUGGCGGACGGGUGAGUAACGCGUGGGUAACCUGCCUUAUACAGGGGGAUAACAGUUGGAAACGACUGCUAAAACCGCAUAAUAUAGCGAGACCGCAUGGUCAUGCUAUCAAAUACUUGUAGGUAUAAGAUGGGCCCGCGUCUGAUUAGCUAGUUGGUGGGGUAAUGGCCUACCAAGGCAACGAUCAGUAGCCGGCUUGAGAGAGUGACCGGCCACAUUGGGACUGAGACACGGCCCAAACUCCUACGGGAGGCAG